UAAAUCUUGGUGAGGGAACAAUUACAAAAGGAAGUUUGAACUCCUCACACUUGAGUUAUGUUUCCCAGCAAUGCAAACUCCAAGUGUGGGGGAGGUAUGUGAGUAUCCUGAGUAAAGUUCCUCUUGUGCCAAAUCCUAUCUUGGCUUGGAGAUGGUGUUGGUUUAUGGAUCUUGCCCCACUAAAAUGAAAAAAAUAAAAAAAGAGGAGUUACCUUCAUCACCCAUAUGCCAUGGUAAGUACCUUCAGGUAUGUCCUGCUUUUGACUUUAAACAAAGCCCUUCCGGGAGGUAGCCUGAUGUUCACCAGUCUUAUACUCAUGUUUAUCUCUCCCUUUGAAUAUAGCUUGAUCAUGCUUCCUUUAUCUGUGCUCAUCUGCUCUGGUUUGAAUAUAUGCUGCAGCAUACAUUCAUAGGCCUUUUAAAUUAAGCAUGGUCCUUAGGUUAAAAUGUCUUCUUCAGUCAAACCAGACAUGGUGUCGAGUUUGAUUGAUGAACCUUAGAGUUAAUACCUUCAUAGAUCUUGGUUGUAUAUGUGGACUAACCCCUGUAGGAAAAUCUUCAAAUCCAAUCGGGUAAGUCGUUGAGCUUGAUUCCAAGAUAUUGGAUUCAUGUUGCCCAACAUACAAAGGAGGUAGAAAUCACCCUCCAAGGGUCC
rnacentral:lncRNA from 1 species